AUGCAAAAAAAAGACAUGUGCUACUGUAGUGCUGCCUUUUUUGUUUGUUUGUUAUGUAUCUACUAUGAUAUCUAUGUACUGUUGUCCUAUUUGAUUUCUGAGACAUGCAAAAAUAGGGCAGUGUUAUAUUUUGAUGUAGUAUUGUCCUAUUUAAAGGCACUGGUGAUUGUUUUCAUUUUUAUCUUACUAGUAAGCAUGCAUGUGCAAAUGCACGUCUCGGCUAAUAUACAAAUAUAUGUGAGAAUUAACAUGCAGUUUCUCUUAAAAAAUUUAGGCAAACAAGCCUGCUUACGUGCUAGGUUUCCAUGGCAUUUGCUGAGAGUGUAUUUGGAAAAAAGAAAAAUAAGGCCUACAUGUAAAGGUACUUCAAAAGUGUGUUCAGCAUGUAAAGCAAAAACAACUCGGUACAUUUAA
rnacentral:rRNA from 1 species